rnacentral:tRNA from 1 species
CAGAGUAUAGCCAAGGUAGAAACGCACCUCCCUUACACCGAGGAAACGCCCGUGCAACUCGGGCUGCCCUGA